rnacentral:rRNA from 1 species
UUGGGUUUUGAUGCAUGCUUCUUGAUCAAAGUAUCACGAGUUUGUUAUAUAAUCGCAAACAAAUUCUUUAAUGAGAAUAUGCAUUUAUGUGUUUUCAAUUUGAAAAUUUGGUAUAACUCCAAUUACUCAGGUAUGAUCCAAUUCAAGGAAAUUGCCAGGUAGGGAGUUUGACUGGGGUGGUACAUCUCUUAAAUAAUAACGGAGGUGUUCCAAGACCAGCCCAGUGCGGACAGAAACCACACAUAGAGCAAAGGGGCAAAUGCUGACUUGAUCUCGGUGUUCAGUAAACACAGGGACAGCAAAAGCUCGGCAUAUAGAUCCUUUUGGUUUAAAGAGACAGGUUAGGUUUACUCUACUAAUGACAAAACGUUGCUGCGACAGCAUUCCUGCAUAGUACGAGAGGAACCGCAGGUACGGACCAAUGGCACAAUACUUGUUCGAGCGAACAGUGGUAUGACGCUACGUCCGUUGGAUUAUGCCUGAACGCCUCUAAGGUCGUAUCCGUGCUGGACUGCAAUGAUAAAUAAGGGCUUCUAAACCAUUAAAAGUUUGUAAUUUAUUUUACAAACGACAAUGGAUGUGAUGCCAAUGUAAUUUGUAAAAUAGUAA